CCUACGGGGGGCUGCAGUGGGGAAUAUUGCACAAUGGGCGCAAGCCUGAUGCAGCCAUGCCGCGUGUGUGAAGAAGGCCUUCGGGUUGUAAAGCACUUUCAGCGGGGAGGAAGGCGUUAAGGUUAAUAACCUUGUCGAUUGACGUUACCCGCAGAAGAAGCACCGGCUAACUCCGUGCCAGCAGCCGCGGUAAUACGGAGGGUGCAAGCGUUAAUCGGAAUUACUGGGCGUAAAGCGCACGCAGGCGGUCUGUCAAGUCGGAUGUGAAAUCCCCGGGCUCAACCUGGGAACUGCAUUCGAAACUGGCAGGCUAGAGCCUUGUAGAGGGGGGUAGAAUUCCAGGUGUAGCGGUGAAAUGCGUAGAGAUCUGGAGGAAUACCGGUGGCGAAGGCGGCCCCCUGGACAAAGACUGACGCUCAGGUGCGAAAGCGUGGGGAGCAAACAGGAUUAGAUACCCGGGUAGUC
rnacentral:rRNA from 1 species